UCAGAGCUAUUAAAAUUGAUGUCUUAUU
rnacentral:sRNA from 1 species